UGAGGAAUAUUGGUCAAUGGGCGGAAGCCUGAACCAGCCAAGUAGCGUGAAGGAUGACUGCCCUAUGGGUUGUAAACUUCUUUUAUAAGGGAAUAAUUGCGGGUACGCGUACCCGUUUGCAUGUAGCUUAUGAAUAAGGAUCGGCUAACUCCGUGCCAGCAGCCGCGGUAAUACGGAGGAUCCGAGCGUUAUCCGGAUUUAUUGGGUUUAAAGGGAGCGUAGGCGGGCGCUUAAGUCAGCUGUGAAAGUUUGGGGCUCAACCUUAAAAUUGCAGUUGAUACUGGGUGCCUUGAGUGCAGUAUAGGCAGGCGGAAUUCGUGGUGUAGCGGUGAAAUGCUUAGAUAUCACGAAGAACUCCUAUUGCGAAGGCAGCUUGCUGGAGUGUAACUGACGCUGAUGCUCGAAAGUGUGGGUAUCAAACAGGA
rnacentral:rRNA from 1 species